AUCCAACACCCUUCUCCAUUCCAACCUGUCAGAAGCUCUAAUUGAAAAACAUACAGAAUAUCCAUCCAGUGACACUACUCACAGUGGGCAGUAGGGGGAGGUAGUGACACUACUCACAGUGGGCAGUAGGGGGAGGUAGUGACACUAUUCACAGUGGGCAGUAGGGGGAGGUAGUGACACUACUCACAGUGGGCAGUAGGGGGAGGUAGUGACACUACUCACAGUGGGCAGUAGAGGGAGGUAGUGGACUAUUCACUUCUGAGACCAUAGGAAUCCACAUAUAGAAGGUCACUACACCCUGCCACACCUCUAUUUCUCUUUCUCUGUAUCUCUCUCCCUCACACUCCUCCAC
ensembl:lncRNA